AUGUCGAUUAGUCGUACGAGGCAUCUGACUAGUACAGUACGUAUUGUGCACUCUAGGUAACUGCUGGACUACCGAAAGCGGCGUACGGGUGCGGAACACGUGUGCAACCUGCCUUUAUCUGGGGGAUAGCCUUUCGAAAGGAAGAUUAAUACCCCAUAAUAUAUCGAAUGGCAUCAUUCGAUAUUGAAAACUCCGGUGGAUAGAGAUGGGCACGCGCAAGAUUAGAUAGUUGGUGAGGUAAUGGCUCACCAAGUCAAUGAUCUUUAGGGGGCCUGAGAGGGUGAUCCCCCACACUGGUACUGAGACACGGACCAGACUCCUACGGGAGGCAGCAGUGAGGAAUAUUGGACAAUGGGUGAGAGCCUGAUCCAGCCAUCCCGCGUGAAGGACUAAGGCCCUAUGGGUUGUAAACUUCUUUUAUACUGGGAUAAACCUACUUACGUGUAAGUAGCUGAAGGUACAGUAUGAAUAAGCACCGGCUAACUCCGUGCCAGCAGCCGCGGUAAUACGGAGGGUGCAAGCGUUAUCCGGAUUUAUUGGGUUUAAAGGGUCCGUAGGCGGAUCUGUAAGUCAGUGGUGAAAUCUCAUAGCUUAACUAUGAAACUGCCAUUGAUACUGCAGGUCUUGAGUGAGAUUGAGGUAGCUGGAAUAAGUAGUGUAGCGGUGAAAUGCAUAGAUAUUACUUAGAACACCAAUUGCGAAGGCAGGUUACCAAGUCUUAACUGACGCUGAUGGACGAAAGCGUGGGGAGCGAACAGGAUUAGAUACCCUGGUAGUCCACGCCGUAAACGAUGCUAACUCGUUUUUGGGGCCUUGCGCUUCAGAGACUAAGCGAAAGUGAUAAGUUAGCCACCUGGGGAGUACGUUCGCAAGAAUGAAACUCAAAGGAAUUGACGGGGGCCCGCACAAGCGGUGGAGCAUGUGGUUUAAUUCGAUGAUACGCGAGGAACCUUACCAAGACUUAAAUGGGAAAUGACAGGUUUAGAAAUAGACCCUUCUUCGGACAUUUUUCAAGGUGCUGCAUGGUUGUCGUCAGCUCGUGCCGUGAGGUGUUAGGUUAAGUCCUGCAACGAGCGCAACCCCUGUCACUAGUUGCUAACAUUCAGUUGAGGACUCUAGUGAGACUGCCUACGCAAGUAGAGAGGAAGGUGGGGAUGACGUCAAAUCAUCACGGCCCUUACGUCUUGGGCCACACACGUGCUACAAUGGCCGGUACAGAGGGCAGCUACCAGGUGACUGGAUGCGAAUCUCGAAAGCCGGUCUCAGCACAUGCA
rnacentral:rRNA from 1 species